GGUGAGACUCAGAGAGUGUCCCCAUCCUAUUUUUACUUUAAAAAAAAAAGGCACUUUAGCAUUUAAUAUUGAAAAAAGUGUCUUGUCUAUUGCCAAAGCAGAAGGAUUUUUUUUUUUAGUAGUAGUGUCAGCAAGAUUGUAGGCUAUAUGGAUGACUGGGCAACUGGUGAGCUCAUAUCACAUAUACUAUGGAUGUGAAACACCAUUAAUUUAGAGGAUGCUGGAGUCAAGUAAUUUUGUGAAAAUCUCAACUUUCAUCUUGCAAAAAGGAAGCUUCUAAGGCUGAUGGUUGCAAAGAAAUCCUUGAAAACAUGACCCAAGUCCACCUUAAAAGCUUACAAACCAGAUCACAAAUAAAAAGAACAGUUUUUUAAAAAUAACAAUCUCAUGAUUGUAAAGCAAAUCUCAUGAUUUUUUCAGCCUGUUGUGAUUCUUAAAUGCUAGUGGCUGGCAAAGCUGUAAACACCAACACCAGAUCCAAAAAUGUUUAACCCUUGGGG